rnacentral:rRNA from 1 species
CCUACGGGGGGCAGCAGUGGGGAAUAUUGCACAAUGGGGGGAACCCUGAUGCAGCGACGCCGCGUGAGUGAAGAAGUAUUUCGGUAUGUAAAGCCCUAUCAGCAGGGAAGAAAAUGACGGUACCUGACUAAGAAGCCCCGGCUAACUACGUGCCAGCAGCCGCGGUAAUACGGAGGGGGCAAGCGUUAUCCGGAUUUACUGGGUGUAAAGGGAGUGGCGCCGGUUUUGCAAGUCUGAAGUGAAAGCCGAAGGCUCAACCAUGGGACUGCUGUUGAAACUGUAAAACUGGAGUGCAGGAGAGGUAUGCGGAAUUCCUAGUGUAGCGGUGAAAUGCGUAGAUAUUAGGAGGAACACCAGUGGCGAAGGCGGCUUACUGGACUGUAACUGACGUUGAGGCUCGAAGGCGUGGGGAGCAAACAGGAUUAGAUACCCGAGUAGUC